rnacentral:lncRNA from 1 species
GGGCCGUGCUCUUAGAUUCAAAUAUUUUGAUCAAAUUGCUCUGUUUAAUUCAAAUUUUUAUAAAUGCUUAAAUUUCAUUCUAUUUUUGGUAUUAACAGUUUAUAACACCCAUUGAAGAUUAUAUUGUGAUGCAAGCCUAUACCAUGUGAUUAUAUUGUGAUGCAAGCCUAUACCAUGUGACUUUUCAAAUAUAUAUCAGCAUGCUUUCAAACCUGUUUCUCCAUCGCAGUUUUGCUAUGAUCACACUACACCAAGCGUGAAUAAACAAAUAUGCAGUAGAAAUAAGAAAUGCAACAAAAACAACUGGAAUAACCAACAGAUUGAUUAACUGAUAUUGUAACGUCACUUCUAACACUAUCGGCUAAUUCGUUGCGUUCAGUUUUCAUUGUCAGAGGAAUCUGUAAAACCGGGAGGAAAACAGAAAUUCGGCAGGAAAACUAGCUUUCUUUAUCCUUUACAAUUGGAAUCGAAAGCACAUACUAUGUGCUUGGUUUGAACUGUACUUCAGUCAGUUUUGGCAGUCUCGUGGUACAUUAGUUAAGACCACUCAGCCACCAACCUGACCAAGGACCUUGAAGACAUCCAGAGGUCAAUAUACAUUCAUCAACAAAAGACAGGUGAAUAUACAAUUAUAUUCC